UCCCGGGUCGUCCAGCGGUAGGACCCAAGACUUUGAAUCUUGUAACCUUGGUUCGAAUCCAAGCCCGGGAACCA
rnacentral:tRNA from 1 species